GAUAAACGCUAGCGGCAGGCUUAACACGUGCAAGUCGAGGGGCAGCAUAGAUGGUAGCAAUACAAUUGGUGGCGACCGGCGCACGGGUGCGUAACGCGUAUGCAACCUACCCGUCACAGGGGGAUAAUCCGGAGAAAUCUGGUCUAAUACCCCAUAACAUAUGGAUCGGCAUCGGUUCAUGUUGAAAUUUUCGGAGGUGACGGAUGGGCAUGCGUAGCAUUAGCUUGUUGGUGAGGUAACGGCUCAGCAAGGCGACGAUGCUUAGGGGGACUGAGAGGUUUUCCCCCCACACUGGUACUGAGAGACGGACCAGACUCCAACGGGAGGAAGCAGUGAGGAAUAUUGGUCAAUGGGCGAAAGCCUGAACCAGCCAUGCCGCGUGCAGGAUGACGGCUCUAUGAGUUGUAAACUGCUUUUGUACGAGGGUAAAGUGGGUUACGUGUAACCUUUUGAAAGUAUCGUACGAAUAAGGAUCGGCUAACUCCGUGCCAGCCGCCGCCGUAA
rnacentral:rRNA from 1 species